rnacentral:rRNA from 1 species
UACGUAGGGGGCGAGCGUUGUCCGGAUUUAUUGGGCGUAAAGAGCGUGUAGGCGGUUCGGUAAGUCUGUCGUGAAAUCCUGAGGCUCAACCUCGGACGUGCGAUGGAUACUGCCGGGCUAGAGGAUGGUAGAGGCGAGUGGAAUUCCCGGUGUAGCGGUGAAAUGCGCAGAUAUCGGGAGGAACACCAGUGGCGAAGGCGGUUACCUGGAGCUUUGCUGACGCUGAUGCGCGAAAGCGUGGGGAGCGAUCCGG